ACUCCUACGGGAGGCAGCAGUGGGGAAUUUUGGACAAUGGGGGAAACCCUGAUCCAGCCAUGCCGCGUGAGUGAAGAAGGCCUUCGGGUUGUAAAGCUCUUUCAGCCGGAACGAAACGGUCACGGCUAAUACCUGUGACUACUGACGGUACCGGAAGAAGAAGCACCGGCUAACUACGUGCCAGCAGCCGCGGUAAU
rnacentral:rRNA from 1 species